rnacentral:rRNA from 1 species
GAUGAACGCUGGCGGCGUGCCUAAUACAUGCAAGUCGAGCGAACGGACGAGAAGCUUGCUUCUCUGAUGUUAGCGGCGGACGGGUGAGUAACACGUGGAUAACCUACCUAUAAGACUGGGAUAACUUCGGGAAACCGUAGCUAAUACCGGAUAAUAUUUUGAACCGCAUGGUUCAAAAGUGAAAGACGGUCUUGCUGUCACUUAUAGAUGGAUCCGCGCUGCAUUAGCUAGUUGGUAAGGUAACGGCUUACCAAGGCAACGAUGCAUAGCCGACCUGAGAGGGUGAUCGGCCACACUGGAACUGAGACACGGUCCAGACUCCUACGGGAGGCAGCAGUAGGGAAUCUUCCGCAAUGGGCGAAAGCCUGACGGAGCAACGCCGCGUGAGUGAUGAAGGUCUUCGGAUCGUAAAACUCUGUUAUUAGGGAAGAACAUAUGUGUAAGUAACUGUGCACAUCUUGACGGUACCUAAUCAGAAAGCCAAGGCUAACUACGUG